AUUCUACAAAUUUAGCUUAGCUUGGCUUAAAAGUAUAUUUCUACUACCCUGUCAGGAUAAGGUUUGGGAUAGCUGUAUCCCUGAGGGUAAAGCUGUGGUUGCAGGGUCUAGGAAAGGGUUGGCUCUUCGGAAGGACCUGGAAGGCCCAGGAGGAGAGAUGCGGAUGGUGAGGGUGUGAUCAGAGCCAUGGAGGACGCCUCAUUCUUGUCUCACAUGCUGUGCGUCAGAGCCCAGAGCCCGGGAGGGCAUGCUCACCUCUGCAGGGCGGCCCACCCUGGAGCUUGUGAUUCAGUAGGCCUGCGCUCGGCCCAGGAACCUGCCUUUCUGACAGUCCAGGUGAUGAAUGGUGUUUACAGAGAGAAGACAUGACACUGAUGAUGAUGGUUUUGGGAGCUCCUUUCCACACAACUAGAGAGCAUCACUGAAACUGAGCUGGAGGGCAAGGCAAGGAGCCAGCUUCUGUGUGAACCUUCUCAAUGAGGCCAUUCGGUUGCCCCACUGGCUCUUUGUCAGGCACAACUACGCUAAGGGAGUGUGUGUGCACCAAACGCCCUGGGGUCUUGUCAAAGGUAGAUUCUGACUCAGAAGAGUGGGCUGGGGUCAGAGAUGCUGCAUUUGUAACAAGCUUCUGGGUGAGCUGGAGGUGCUGGUCUGGGGGCCAGGUGUUGAGGCGCAAGGCUGCUGGGAGCUGCCUUGGCUGGCAGGCUCCCUCCUCUUGCUCAGCCUGCAUCACAGCAGGCCGUUCUGUUUCCAACCCCAGCUGCCCCUCACUCUGCCAGAUGCAGCAAUGUGAACGCAUUCUGGGGCAGAGCGUCCACAUCUUUGUCACUUCAGCCUGGGGACUGACUCAUUUGUAUGACAUGCUCAGCUCUUUGGAGAGAUGUUGGGCCAGAAAUGGACAUGGCAGCACACACUUUCUGGAAAAUGGGAAGCCAAAUUUUUUUUUCCAAUUAUUAUUUUCCACAGAUUCGGAGACUGCUUAAUUCCCAAUGAAAUACAACUUUUAGAUUGCAAGAUAAAAUAUGAAAAUUAUGUCCAAGCUCAAAACCACGGGAAAAUAGCAGAAAGAGCCUACACCAUGAGCAAAUAGAGAGCUAUGAAGUAUCUCUGCAGCCUGUUUCAAGUUCUGAAUUUACUUAUUAUCAGCUGUGUGUGUUUAUCCCGCCUACAGUAGGACCAGCUGGAGUUUUCAAUUUGCACCAUGGAUGAUGCUGACAGAAGUCUCCCUUGCAGCUGUUGGCUCCAAGGUUCUUCAAUGGCCAGAUGGUCAUCAGAAGCAUAAAAGUGACAGUUCCGAGGAGGAAGUGUCUUUCCCUAUUGCCUGUGGAAUAGAAAUUAAGUGGGUGUCCCAUGGCUCUCUUUCCUGGAGGGCCCUUUAAGGGACUCUGGAAGGCUGAACUCCAAAAGUUCCUUCCAAAGGAAAACAAACUCUGAAGAGGAGCCUUUGCCAGUGCUUCUCUGGGAUCUGGCUUCAGAAUUACUCCCAGUCUGAAAAGUAUACCCAGUGAUUUGGAGACUGAUGGAGGCCUGGGCACCCCAGCCUGUGGGGAGAAGCGGGAUUUCUGAGUGAUGGACUCAACCCUGACCCCAGAGAAAGGCUCCCUCCCUACAACUGCUCUGUGACUUUGUUGCUCCUGGAGGCCCCUCUCCCCACGUUUAAGACGUUCCCAGCCAGUUCACUCAGAGCCGUCAAACCAUUCCGCAGGGGAGGCCUGUUCUCAGCCACCAAAGUACUGCAUUAGCUAGCCCACAAGCCUGAUGGAGCCAGGCAUUGAUGAAAAGACGCCAUCCACCUGCACCAGCCUCUGCACACUGCUGAAAGAAUUCAGCACAUCCUACCAUCACUGGAAAAAAGGCAGCAUCAGCAGUAGUGUCGGCAGGAGCUGAGCUGAUUGGCGUGAACUCUCAGACACCUCAUACCACA
rnacentral:lncRNA from 1 species